rnacentral:misc_RNA from 1 species
UACAGAGAGUGCAAGCGUUAAUCGGAAUUACUGGGCGUAAAGCGAACGUAGGUGGGCAGCUUAGUCGGAUGUGAAAGCCCCGGGCUUAACCUGGGAACUGCACCCGAUACUGGCUGUCUAGAGUAUAAUAGAGGGAAGUGGAAUUUCCGGUGUAGCGGUGAAAUGCGUAGAUAUCGGAAAGAACACCAGUGGCGAAGGCGGCUUCCUGGAUUAAUACUGACACUGAGGUGCGAAAGCGUGGGGAGCAAACAGG